rnacentral:rRNA from 1 species
CUUGCAUACCUAUAAGAGGUCCAGCCUGCCCAGUGACUCUGUUCAACGGCCGCGGUAUCCUAACCGUGCGAAGGUAGCGUAAUCACUUGUUCUUUAAAUGAGGACUAGUAUGAAUGGCAUCACGAAGGUUAUACUGUCUCCUCUUUCCAAUCAGUGAAACUAAUCUCCCCGUGAAGAAGCGGGGAUAACUUUAUAAGACGAGAAGACCCUAUGGAGCUUUAAACUAAGAAUCAACUGACUUUUCCACUUUUAAAUUCCAGAAAACUAACUUUUACCAAGACACUCUGAUUUCUAGUUUUAGGUUGGGGUGACCACGGAGUAAAAACUAACCUCCGCAAUGAACAGGGAUCUUCCCUUAACCAAGGACCACAACCCUAAGAAUCAACACAUUGACAUCAAUUGACCCAAAAAAUUUGAUCAAUGAAC